GAUACUGUUUUUCAGAGAGCAAUGGACAUUUACAAGAGGCAGAGAGUAGGUUUGAGCUUGCCAAUGGCUAAUGGUGUAACAAUACAUGCUAUUUCAUCCUCCAAAAUGGAGGAGCAAGUAACUGUUAAUGAUGUGGUCAUAGCAGAAGAGCCAGUUUUUGAUCACAUUGCAGUGAUGUCUGAUGUGCAGAUGUUGAACUUAGAUGAGGAGAAAGUGGAAGUUCGCCCUUCAAUUGCUAUUGAGGAAGGGAAUUCAGAAGUGGCUUGCACCAGGAGGUGGAUUUUAACGCUCAUACUCCUACUCUGAAGGUGGAAUGGGCCAGUCAAACUCUUAGUUAUAAUAGCACAGAAAAGCAGCCCAUGAUGAUUUUCAGUGGUGAUAAGGUAGAUGGGAUGUUGUCUCAGCUGGUGAAUUCAGAAGAUAAACAAGGAGAUAUUGUUUCCAAUCCUGAUGAUGUGCCAAAUGCUGACGAAGUUCUCCCCACUGAUGGGCAGAACAUGGAUGACAAUAGUGAGAUGAAAGAUAGUAAUACUUUUACUUGUGCUGAAGAAAGGCCGGGGGUUGGUGAUGCAAUAUGUGGCCAUGUAUUUUUUUCGGAUGGUUCUCCCAAGGCAUUAGGGGCUUUGAUGCCUGGGUCAAAUGAGUCUGAGUCGGUAAUUUUAAGUCGGAUACAUAAUUCUCCUGAAAGUACACAUUGAAACAAUUUCUAUAUCCAUGUUCUUUAAUGAGUUUUUGGUUUAAUUAUUUUAGCUUUUUCCGUUGAUUUUGCUUUUUCCUUUCAAGGUAAUAAAAGGGAAAUAUGCUCUUUAUUAGGCCCUUGCCCCUGG
rnacentral:misc_RNA from 1 species